GUCUAUAGCUGCACCACCCUGAAUGUGCCCAGUCUUGUCUGAUCUUGGAAGCUAAGCAGAGUUGGGCCUGGUUAGUACUUUGAUGGGAGACAAGGAUGCUCAGCCUUAAUGAGACCUCUUAAGCAACCUUGAUUCUGUGGUU
rnacentral:rRNA from 1 species